CCAAUAGCGUAUAUUAAAGUUGUUGCAGUUAAAAAGCUCGUAGUUGAAUUUUAGGCCUGGCCGGGCGGUCCGUCUUUGGCGAGUACUGUCCUGUGUCGGGUCCACCUUCUGGUGAACCAGUAUGUCCUUUAUUGGGUGUGCCGGGGAGCCAGGACCAUUACCUUGAAAAAAUUAGAGUGUUUAAAGCAGGCAUUUGCUUGAAUAGAUUAGCAUGGAAUAAUAGAAUAGGACGUUGUGGUUCUAUUUUGUUGGUUUCUAGGACCACCGUAAUGAUUAAUAGGGAUAGUUGGGGGCAUUAGUAUUCAAUUGUCAGAGGUGAAAUUCUUGGAUUUAUUGAAGACUAACUACUGCGAAAGCAUUUGCCAAGGAUGUUUUCAUUAAUCAAGAACGAAAGUUAGGGGAUCGAAGACGAUCAGAUACCGUCGUAGUCUUAACCAUAAACUAUGCCGACUAGGGAUCGGACGAAGUUAAUUUUAUAAUGACGCGUUCGGCACCUUACG
rnacentral:rRNA from 1 species